rnacentral:lncRNA from 1 species
GGGGCGAGGAAGCUGCCGGGGAAGUGAGAUGACGGUCGCGGGGGUGCCCAGGAGCCCUGAAAAACUUGUGCCCUGGGCACGGCAAAAUCUGCAGGUUGCAGAAAGUCUCAACUGAUCCUGGCAUACCCCGAGGUGCCGACUUUUAGAGCUGAAGAUGCAAGAAAGAUUGGGAUCCUGCGAUGCACCGAACCUGUCUCUCGAAGUGUGUGCGCCCUGCUUCCUGUGUUAAACAAUUUGCUACAAGGUCACACAAUUUUAACUAGAAGACUGAGAUGUGAACCUGGGUGGUCUGAUGUGAACACCACUGUCUGGUAAUCCCAACGCUCUGCUGCUUUGCGACAGAGAAUGUUUUAGGGAACACACAGACUAUGUACUUAACCAAAUCUGGAAUUUGCCGUGCACUGAUUUCAUAUUGUUCAAACACAGAUGUUUUACAAUCAACUUGUACAGUUAACACAAUUAUCACAGUGGUCCUGAGGUGAUGUACAUCCUCAGCUUACGAAGAUAACAGGAUUAAGAGAUUAAAGUAAAGACAGGCAUAAGAAAUUAUAAAAGUAUUAUUUGGGAACUGAUAAAUGUCCAUGAAAUCUUCACAAUUUAUGUUCCUCUGCCGUGGCUCCAGCCGGUCCCUCCGUUCGGGGUCCCUGACUUCCCGCAACACAUCUUAGAUUCUUAUUACAGAAACUUAACAUUCCCAGAAGAAGCCUCGCCUUUUUAUUUCUAAUUUUGGCUAUGAAUUCCUAGCUAUGACCCAUUUGCCCCAUUCUAACUAUUUCCAGUGGUAGGGGGAAAAGAACAAGACAGUAAUAUAAUGUAGAGAUGAGCUAAUUGUGGUAAUAAUAAGCACUUGUGUAGUGCUUUCAUAUACAUGAUCUCUCUUAAUGUUCAUAACAAAGCUGUGAGGUUGGUGCUCUUAUCUCUCUUUGGUUAAUGAAGGACUGAGGCCUAGGGAAUUGGAAGUGACCUGCCAAGAUGACAGAACAAUAAAGUGGCAGAGUUGGGUUAAAUCCUUGGUUAUUUUAAUGACAAAUGACAGACCAAUAAUUGAUUCCUCAAUAAAACAGUGGAAGUCA